UAGGAACUGACAUGAUAAGGUGGUUC
rnacentral:piRNA from 1 species